UACGUAGGCAGCGAGCGUUGUUCGGAAUUACUGGGCGUAAAGAGUGUGUAGGCGGUGCUCUAAGUUCGGUGUGAAAUCUCCUGCUUAACUGGGAGGGUGCGCCGGAAACUGGAGUGCUCGAGCGUGGGAGAGGAAAGCGGAAUUCCUGGUGUAGCGGUGAAAUGCGUAGAUAUCAGGAGGAACACCAAUUGCGAAGGCAGCUCGCUGGGACGUUACUGACGCUGGAGACGCGAAAGCGUGGGGAGCAAACAGG
rnacentral:rRNA from 1 species